rnacentral:rRNA from 1 species
AGAGUGAACGCUGGCGGUAGGCCUAACACAUGCAAGUCGAACGGCAGCACGGUAAGAGCUUGCUCUUAUGGGUGGCGAGUGGCGGACGGGUGAGGAAUACACCGGAAUCUACCUUUUGGUGGGGGAUAACGUAGGGAAACUUACGCUAAUACCGCAUACGCCCUUCGGGGGAAAGCCGGGGACCAGCAAUGGCCUGGCGCUGAUAGAUGAGCCGAUGUCGGAUUAGCUAGUUGGUGAGGUAAUGGCUCACCAAGGCGACGAUCCGUAGCUGGUCUGAGAGGAUGAUCAGCCACACUGGAACUGAGACACGGUCCAGACUCCUACGGGAGGCAGCAGUGGGGGAAUAGUUGGACAAGUGGGCGCAAGCCUGAUCCAGCC